AACACACUUUAUUCUGAACCACAUGUGUAUCAAAUUCUAACAACAAACUAAUGACUUGUUGUUAGAAUUUGAUACACAUGUGGUUCAGAAUAAAGUGUGU
rnacentral:pre_miRNA from 1 species